rnacentral:lncRNA from 13 species
GUCUGGGGUUUUCUUCCCGGGCAGGUUGUGUGCUCAGGGCCCCAGGGGAAUCUGGGAUAAGACGCUGGGGGCGCUGCCGUGGGAAAGGCCAAGGGACACCGUCUGGACGGGUUCCCCGAGACCACGUGCUCUAAGCCCCGAAUCUGAUCCCAGGCAGGGUGCCCUGCCUCUCCCAGCUCCGUCUCUGCUCCCCAGCGGACCCGCUGUCUCCAGCAGACCUGGAGUUCCGUGGAUUCCCCACUGAUCUCAGGAGUCCAACAACACAGUUCCUCCACACGGUUCACCUGACGCUGGAUGGUCCAGCCCACCUGGACCUAUGCCUGCGUUUCCUUGACUAAGCUCUUCCUCCAAAAAGCCUUACCAGAUACCUAAGAACACUCUCUAUGUCCUGACACGGCUGGCCUCCUCGUCUGAGACAUCUCACUGUGCUGUAAAUGCUUGUUGAGAUAUCUGCCUCUCCCAGGAGACUCCGUGCUGCUGGAGGAAUCAGGUGGGGAAGGCAGUCUUCAGAGCAUUCACUCUGCCAUUCUCUGUGUCCGUCAUAGCAAUUUCUUCUCCAUGUUCAUGGAACACCUGUGGGCAGCACAGUUCCAGGCACUGGUUCUUUCAUUCCAUCAACACUGUUGGGGAGGCUACUUGGACCAGGCACUGUUCUAGGCAUUAUGGACAGAUCAUGAGUGAAAUGAAAGGAGUCCCAGACCCAGCUGGGUGGAGGUGA